AACGAGGCCGACCUGCGGCUGAGUUACCUGCGGAGGGAUCAUUACAGAGUUCAUGCCCUCACGGGUAGAUCUCCCACCCUUGAAUACUAUACCUUUGUUGCUUUGGCGGGCCGCUUUGGCUACUGGCUCUGGCUAGUAAGUGCCCGCCAAAGAACCCCAAAACUCUGAAUAUUAGUGUCGUCUGAGUACUAUAUAAUAGUUAAAACUUUCAGCAACGGAUCUCAGAUCGGAAGAGCACAC
rnacentral:misc_RNA from 1 species